rnacentral:rRNA from 1 species
UACAGAGGAGCCAAGCGUUGUCCGGAUUGACUGGGCGUAAAGCGCACGCAGGCGGACGCGCGCGUGGGGUGUGAAAUCUGGCCGCUUAACGGCCAGGCGCCAUCCCAUACGGCGCGACUGGAGUGAUGCAGAGGUCGAUGGAAUUGCCGGUGUAGUGGUGAAAUGCGUAGAGAUCGGCAGGAACACCCAGGGGGAAACCAGUCGACUGGGCAUCUACUGACGUUGAGGUGCGAGAGCGUGGGGAGCGAACCGG